rnacentral:rRNA from 1 species
UAGUCAUAUGCUUGUCUCAAAGAUUAAGCCAUGCAUGUCUAAGUAUAAACAAUUCUAUACUGUGUGAAACUGCGAAUGGCUCAUUAAAUCAGUUAUAGUUUAUUUGAUAAUUUCUUUCUACAUGGAUAACCGUGGUAAUUCUAGAGCUAAUACAUGCAUAUAAAAACCCGACUUUGGAAGGGUUGUAUUUAUUAGAUAAAAACCAAUGUGGGCAACCACUCUUUUGGUGAUUCAUAAUAACUUGUCGAAUCGUAUGGCCUUGAGCCGACGAUGUAUC